UCCCUUUGUGCCCGCCCAGCAUUUCUCUGAGGUGAAUGUAAGAGGCCGUAGAGCCAGGGAAGCAGAGCCAUAUAUAUAUUAUUGCCUUGGCGAUCUUUGGGAAGCUUUUAGUGAAUGGAGCGUCUAUGGUGUGGGUGUACCAAUAUUGUUGAAUGGGAAAGAUCCAAUCAUUCAAUAUUAUGUACCUUUCUUAUCCGGCAUCCAAUUGUACGUAGAUCCGUCAAAGCCAUCUUCACGCAUCAGGCCUGGUGAAGAGG
rnacentral:misc_RNA from 1 species